UUACGGCCACAUCACGUUGAAAUACCUGUUCCCGUACGAUCACCGAAGUUAAACAAUGUCGACCCUGGUCAUUACCGAAAAGGGUGACCGCUUGGGAAUACCAGCUGCUGUAAG